CUUGACUGUAUCUUGGAUUUGGGUUCGGGCUUUUCUUGCGCAGACUAGGUGGGAGGCUAUGAAGGUUUUCUUCCGGGAAAGUUGGAGCCAACAGUGAGAGACCACUCUGGAAAGGCUAGAAUCCUAAUGGUGAUCCUUGAAUCAGGACACUUGACAGUUUCAGGUGGGCAGUUUGUUUGGGGCGAACGCCUCAUAAAAGGUAACUGAGGCGCGCAAAGGUCCCCUCAGUCUGGACGGAAAUCAGACAUUGAGUGUAAAGGCAAAAGGGGGCUUGACUGCAAGACCCACAAGUCGAGCAGGAGCGAAAGCUGGCCUUAGUGAUCCGACUGUGCCGUGUGGAAGGGCCGUCGCUCAACGAAUAAAAGUUA
rnacentral:rRNA from 1 species